UACGGAGGGUGCAAGCGUUAAUCGGAAUUACUGGGCGUAAAGCGCGCGUAGGCGGCUUGAUAAGUCGGAUGUGAAAGCCCCGGGCUCAACCUGGGAAUUGCAUCCGAUACUGUCUAACUAGAGUGUGGAAGAGGAGAGUGGAAUUUCCGGUGUAGCGGUGAAAUGCGUAGAUAUCGGAAGGAACACCAGUGGCGAAGGCGACUCUCUGGUCCAACACUGACGCUGAGGUGCGAAAGCGUGGGUAGCAAACAGG
rnacentral:misc_RNA from 1 species